GAUGAAGAACGUAGCGAAAUGCGAUAAGUAAUGUGAAUUGCAGAAUUCAGUGAAUCAUCGAAUCUUUGAACGCACAUUGCGCCCCCUGGUAUUCCGGGGGGCAUGCCUGUUCGAGCGUCAUUUCACCACUCAAGCCUCGCUUGGUAUUGGUCAACGCGGUCCGCCGCGUGCCUCAAAUCGACCGGCUGGGUCUUCUGUCCCCUAAGCCUUGUGGAAACUAUUCGCUAAAGGGUGUUCGGGAGGCUACGCCGUAAAACAACCCCAUUUCUAAGGUUGACCUCGGAUCAGGUAGGGAUACCCGCUGAACUUAAGCAUAUCAAUAAGCGGAGGA
rnacentral:misc_RNA from 1 species